UCGAGAAUCUUCCACAAUGGACGAAAGUCUGAUGGAGCGACGCCGCGUGAUUGAUGAAGUCCCUCUGGGACGUAAAGAUCUUUUAUGAGGGAAGAAGUUUAUUGACUGUACCUCAUGAAUAAGAGGCUCCUAAUCUCGUGCCAGCAGGAGCGGUAAUACGAGAGCCUCGAGCGUUAUCCGGAAUUAUUGGGCGUAAAGGGUGCGUAGGUUGUUCUGUUAGUCAAUUGUUAAAGCCCCGAGCUCAACUUGGGACGGGCGAUUGAAACGGCAGAACUUGAAAGUGCAAGAGGCGUACGGAACUCAUGGUGUAGGGGUGAAAUCCGUUGAUAUCAUGGGGAACACCAAAUGCGAAGGCAGUACGCUGGUGCAUAUUUGACACUGAAGCACGAAAGCGUGGGUAGCGAAUGGG
rnacentral:rRNA from 1 species